AGAUGUUAAAAGCAAGAGACAUGGGAGAGCAUCAUUCCUUUGAGAUUUUAUAAAUCAAACCAACUUUGGAGUUGUCUGAUUUGGAGAGUCAUUAUUCUUGGUCUUCGCUCUUAGAGGCCAAUGAUGAAGAACAGGCGGUGACUGGGAUGAAUCCUGGUCAGAGAGGAGAAUCUUCUUUCCCCUAAACUGAUGCAGCGGUGGUUUUAAAGGAGGACGCUGCCCUGGAUGAUGUAGAAGAUGUCAGAUGCUGUGCAGAUGGGAUUUCUUCAUGAUUACAUCAGUUAUGCUAAAGAGAUCAUGAAAAUUGACCGUGAUGCAUGAUCUGUAUUCAUGGACUAUGAAACAAACUGUAAGUGUAUAAUUUGUUAAAAAAAAAAAAAAAAGUUAAAUGCUUUUUCUGUGUUGUUUAGUAGAAGAGUUUACACUCUGUCAUUCAUACACCUGCUCACAUUCUUUCACACACACACACACACACAUACACGUCUAUGUUACUAAGAGGGGACUAUCACUCUACACUGACCAAGAGGGGACCAGUGUUUCUGGUCAUUUUUAAGAAACAAAAAUUACAUACAAAAUUUUCAUUUGAGGUCUUUUUUCAUAAUAUAACUGAAAAAAUGCAUUUUUAUUUAUUUUUUUAAAAACAUGCCAAGUGGGGACCUGAGUGACGUCUACCUAUCCAACAGAGGACCUCCAUAGACUGCAAUGCAACUGUGUGUGCAAACAUUAGGGCAAUUGUACCAAGUCUUUCUUUACAAUCUAACUGUAUUUAAAUGCAACUCUAAACUUUGAAACAUUCACACUAUAUCUCCAUUGAAGAAAUAUUCUAAUAGAAAUCCAAAAUGUUUAAUAAAUUAGUAUGACAUGCAGAUAUUUUCGGGGCUUGAGACUAAUACAAAUACACUUCUCAAUAUAUGAAUGCAAUCACACAGAUAAUAAGACAAAACAAGCAAGACACUACAGUUAAUUUGAGGAUAGCAAAAAUAAAAUAAAAUAAAGAGCUCUUUAAGAUAACAAUUGCAUGUCAAUACUUCUGACAGUAAAGAGUGCAUGUGUUAGAUAAAAUGAGUUUGGUCCCCAGUUAGAUGGUGACGUGUGACGCCUGUUAGACUGAAUCACCUCUUCUUACA